GCUGCCGACAAGGGUGUUUACCGGUCGCCACAUUUACUGAUGGUAGGACCUCUUGUGAGUCCGCGCGGGUAGAUACCACCGCCCUGCCUAUUUCUGCCGUGAAGCAGUAAUGGGGUAAUGAAGUGAAGCAGUGAUGAGGGGUGGGGCAGCCGUUGUAACUAUAAAGGUGGGUGGCGGCAUUUACGUUGUAGUCGCUAGGGGCUCCAGUAGCCACUUAACACCAGGUGGUCUAUGAGCUCGUCCACGCAUCUAAGCAAUAAAAAAACGUGAGAGUGCCAGUAUCCCUUCCAAACCACCCCACCCCCCCCAGUCUGGAAGCAUUCUAUGUAGCAAAUCAAUUUGUUUUUCAAUUUGUUUUUUUGGUCUUCAACAGACUUAGAUAAAAAUCUAUGUACAUAUAUAAUAAGAUAAGAUAAAAUAUUGUAAUUUGAACGAAUAAGUUUAUAAGAAUUGUUGUUGUCCAACAUGCAUAUAAUAUUAAGAUACUGGGGUGGUCAUGUGGAUGUGUUCAUCGUCAAAGCUGACAUUCUUGGCGCUAACAUUGUCCAUCAAUUAAAACACAACAUUCAUCAGACUCACAAGCGAUAAGUCCAACAGAAUUGCUAUUACUAAUUUCUUCAGCCACGCAGCCAUAACAACUUUAUUAAUUAAAACUACUUCAGAUAUUUAA